rnacentral:rRNA from 1 species
UACAGAGGGUGCAAGCGUUAAUCGGAGUUACUGGGCGUAAAGGGUGUGUAGGCGGCUUCGUAAGUUCGGUGUGAAAUCUCCUGGCUUAACUGGGAGGGUGCGCCGAAAACUGCGGAGCUGGAGCGCAGGAGAGGAAAGCAGAAUUCCUGGUGUAGCGGUGAAAUGCGUAGAUAUCAGGAGGAAUACCGGUGGUGAAGGCGGCUUUCUGGACUGCUGCUGACGCUGAUACACGAAAGCGUGGGGAGCAAACAGG